GGCUGUAAAAACUGCGACUGAAGUAAAAUUCCAAUGGAUACAGAAGAGAGGAGUAUGCUCUGAAGACAACACAGGCUCAAGCUGUUGAAGGAGACAGCAAUGCUACUGAAAGCAAUAACCUGGGCAUUGUUCAGAUACUGAGUACUAACGGUAUCGUCAGGAAACGGACGCACUGGGGACGUCACUUGCCCAGGUCCCACAGCUGUAAGUGGCAGAGCGGCCGUGCAACUCAAGACAGGCUGGUCCUGGUGUCCUACUCUUCAACACCACGUGGAUGUUAACUGUGCUUUUCUUCACUGAGCUACAGGAAAAACAGCAGCAGCAAAUCUCUCUGUUGCCCAUGCAGGUAUUUAAGGUGGCUGGCUGGGGUAACUCUACAGAGAAUCUAUAUGAGCAUUAAGAAGUCUGAGAAUCAACUUCCAACUAAAAGAAUCCAAAAAUGAUGUUUCUGAGGUUUAUAUCCGCUUAUGGGAUCAAAAUAAUGAGGUCAAAAAUUGAAUUUUUUUUUGGCUAAGCUGCAGAA